GAUGAACGCUGGCGGCGUGCCUAAUACAUGCAAGUCGAGCGAACAGAUAAGGAGCUUGCUCCUUUGACGUUAGCGGCGGACGGGUGAGUAACACGUGGGUAACCUACCUAUAAGACUGGGAUAACUUCGGGAAACCGGAGCUAAUACCGGAUAACAUUUGGAACCGCAUGGUUCUAAAGUGAAAGAUGGUUUUGCUAUCACUUAUAGAUGGACCCGCGCCGUAUUAGCUAGUUGGUAAGGUAACGGCUUACCAAGGCGACGAUACGUAGCCGACCUGAGAGGGGGAUCGGCCACACUGGAACUGAGACCCGGGCCAGACUCCUAAGGGAGGCAGCAGUAGGGAAUCUUCCGCAAUGGGCGAAAGCCUGACGGAGCAACGCCGCGUGAGUGAUGAAGGGUUUCGGCUCGUAAAACUCUGUUAUUAGGGAAGAACAAAUGUGUAAGUAACUGUGCACGUCCUGACGGUACCUAAUCAGAAAGCCACGGCUAACUACGUG
rnacentral:rRNA from 1 species